UACGUAGGUGGCAAGCGUUGUCCGGAAUUACUGGGCGUAAAGAGCGCGUAGGCGGGGAUUUAAGUCAGGAGUGAAAACUACCGGCUCAACCGGUAGCCUGCUCUUGAAACUGAAUUUCUUGAGGGUAUGAGAGGAAAGCGGAAUUCCCAGUGUAGCGGUGAAAUGCGUAGAUAUUGGGAGGAACACCAGUGGCGAAGGCGGCUUUCUGGCAUACAACUGACGCUGAGGCGCGAAAGCGUGGGGAG
rnacentral:rRNA from 1 species